AUUGAACGCUGGCGGCAGGCCUAACACAUGCAAGUCGAGCGAACCUAGCUUGCUAGGUGAGCGGCGAACGGGUGAGUAACACGUAGGAAUCUGCCCGAUAGUGGGGGACCACGUCUCGAAAGGGACGCUAAUACCGCAUACGCCCUACGGGGGAAAGCAGGGGAUCUUCGGACCUUGCGCUAUCGGAUGAGCCUGCGUCGGAUUAGCUAGUUGGUGGGGUAAAGGCCUACCAAGGCGACGAUCCGUAGCUGGUCUGAGAGGAUGAUCCGCCACACCGGAACUGAGACACGGUCCGGCCUCCGACGGGAGGCAGCAGUGGGGAAUUUUGGACAAUGGGCGCAAGCCUGAUCCAGCAAUGCCGCGUGCAGGAUGAAGGCCUUCGGGUUGUAAACUGCUUUUGUACGGUACGAAACGGCCCUUUCUAAUACAGGGGGCUAAUGACGGUACCGUAAGAAUAAGCACCGGCUAACUACGUGCCAGCAGCCGCGGUAA
rnacentral:rRNA from 1 species